UACCAUGAGCAAAGAUAGUGGUGGGGUAAAGAAUAGAAUCGCCCUGUAUAUAAGCGCGUCGUUUUCUGAUAAAUUCAGUCUAAAAAUUUCUACGCAGAGAAGAAGACGCUUGAGAUAGACGUCGACAAGUUUUAAAGGGCCAAAUGGCCCUUGCCCCCUUAGUUAAAGGGGGCAAAACUCAAAUCGAAUUUGUAGAAGUAUUAAUCCGAAUCGUUGAUUAUAAAAAAUCAGAAAAUGUCAAUAAUUAAAAGAAAGCUGAUUGAAGAAUUUCCUCAACAUUGAUUGAAGAUAUCAAAAAGACUCGAUUUCGACGCAGCCAAACAAGAAAGCUCAGUGUAUCUGAGGUAAGAAAUAAAGCAAACAAUUUAUUAGAAAAUUUGCAAAGCUACAUGAAAAUACAAUGAAUUCAAAUAAACAUUAAAGAAGCAUUAAGUUACCAUUUAGGAGUAAAGAUGUUUAAUUUAAGUUUGUAAUUUAGGGAAAUUAACUAAUCAUUAGAUAAUGAUAUAAAGUAAAUGAUGAUGGUGAUUUAAAAAAAAUCAAAUAAAUAUA